ACCUCCUGUGCCUACUGAGCUGAUAACAGUUAGAUUUUAAACAAAUACUGGCUCAGUUCAGCAGGAACCGGAGU
rnacentral:pre_miRNA from 1 species